UUUUCAGGUUUUGAAAGGACAAGAUGGGUUCAAUGCACCAACUAUAUCCAACUUCAAGCUGUCUGAUGAGAGAAAAGACACAAGCAGCUCACUAAUCCUUCUCUCAGGCUUCUGCAUCCGUUAUGUUCCUUCCAGUCAGAUGGAAACAAGAUGAAAUUUUGGAAGACUCAAGUGGUAUUGAACAGAGAAGCAGUGCAGGAGCACUGCCCAGAGGAAAAAAGAUGGAAGCACACCUAAAACAGGGAGAUGAAGAAAAGGAACUUUGCUUAGCUUUCUUUCUCCUGUCUGAGAGGCCUCAAGAACCUUCCUCAAGAUUCACAUCUAUUGGACAAGCUAUUCUUAACAGGAAAAUUGAAGGACCUGCUCCAGGAAUUAGUUUUCCUUCAUUAGAAGCGGUUACAAUAUGUUCAAUAUAGUGACUGUACAGCAAAGAAAUCCUGCAGGAGAGAGAACAAUAAAUCCAAUUACCAAAGACUUGGAGUUCA
rnacentral:lncRNA from 1 species